rnacentral:rRNA from 1 species
UCGGGAAUCUUCCGCAAUGGGCGAAAGCCUGACGGAGCAACGCCGCGUGAGUGAUGAAGGUCUUCGGAUCGUAAAACUCUGUUAUUAGGGAAGAACAAAUGUGUAAGUAACUAUGCACGUCUUGACGGUACCUAAUCAGAAAGCCACGGCUAACUACGUGCCAGCAGCCGCGGUAAUACGUAGGGGGCAAGCGUUAUCCGGAAUUAUUGGGCGUAAAGCGCGCGUAGGCGGUUUUUUAAGUCUGAUGUGAAAGCCCACGGCUCAACCGUGGAGGGUCAUUGGAAACUGGAAAACUUGAGUGCAGAAGAGGAAAGUGGAAUUCCAUGUGUAGCGGUGAAAUGCGCAGAGAUAUGGAGGAACACCAGUGGCGAAGGCGACUUUCUGGUCUGUAACUGACGCUGAUGUGCGAAAGCGUGGGGAUCAAACA